CCAGCCUGCCAGUGACUACAAGUUCAACGGCCGCGGUAUUUUGACCGUGCAAAGGUAGCGCAAUCACUUGUCUUUUAAAUAGAGACCUGUAUGAAUGGCUAAACGAGGGCUUAACUGUCUCCCCUUUCCAGUCAGUGAAAUUGAUCUGCCCGUGCAGAAGCGGACAUAAAAAUACAAGACGAGAAGACCCUUUGGAGCUUAAGGUACAAAACUCAACCGCGUCAAGCAACUCAAUAAAAAGCAAAAACUUUGCGGAACAUGAGAUUUUACCUUCGGUUGGGGCGACCACGGAGGAAAACAAAGCCUCCAAGUGGAUUGGGAAAACCUCCUAAAACCAAGAGAGACAUCUCUAAGCCACAGAACAUCUGACCAAACAUGAUCCGGCUGCCCGAAGCCGAUCAACGAACCAAGUUACCCUAGGGAUAACAGCGCAAUCCUCUCCCAGAGUCCAUAUCGACGAGAGGGUUUACGACCUCGAUGUUGGAUCAGGACAUCCUAAUGGUGCAGCCGCUAUUAAGGGUUCGUUUGUUCAACGAUUAAAGUCCUACGUGAUCUGA
rnacentral:rRNA from 1 species